rnacentral:tRNA from 1 species
GGCCGCUUGCCAACGGCAAGAGCGCGGACGCCCUGUAAAUCCGUCGCGAAAGCUUCAGAGGUUCGAAUCCUCUACCCGCCACCA